UACAGAGGUCUCAAGCGUUGUUCGGAUUCAUUGGGCGUAAAGGGUGCGUAGGCGGCGCGGUAAGUCGGGUGUGAAAUCUCGGAGCUUAACUCCGAAACUGCAUUCGAUACUGCCGUGCUUGAGGACUGGAGAGGAGACUGGAAUUUACGGUGUAGCAGUGAAAUGCGUAGAUAUCAAGUGGAACACCAGUGGCGAAGGCGAGUCUCUGGACAUUUCCUGGCGCUGAGGCACGAAAGCCAGGGGAGCAAACGGG
rnacentral:rRNA from 1 species